AUUGAACGCUGGCGGCAGGCCUAACACAUGCAAGUCGAGCGGAGCGGCGGACGGGUGAGUAAUGCCUAGGAAUCUGCCUGGUAGUGGGGGAUAACGUCCGGAAACGGGCGCUAAUACCGCAUACUCUCAGAUGAGCCUAGGUCGGAUUAGCUAGUUGUGGGGGUAAAGGCCUACCAAGGCGACGAUCCGUAACUGGGCUGAGAGGAUGAUCAGUCACACUGGAACUGAGAUACGGUGCAGAAUCAUACGGGAGGCAGAAGUGGGGAAUAUUGGAAAAUGGGCGAAAGCAUGAUGCAGCCAUGCCGCGUGUGUGAAGAAGGUCUUCGGAUUGUAAAGGACUUUAAGUUGGGAGGCGUUACCAGCAGAAUAAGCACCGGCUAACUUCGUGCCAGCCGCCGCGGUAAUUC
rnacentral:rRNA from 1 species